rnacentral:rRNA from 1 species
CGGACGGGUGAGUAACGCGUGGGUAACCUGCCUUGUACUGGGGGACGAACAGUUGGAAACGACUGCUAAUACCGCAUAAGCGCACAGCUUCGCAUGAAGCAGUGCGAAAAACUCCGGUGGUACAAGAUGGACCCGCGUCUGAUUAGCUGGUUGGUGAGGUAACGGCCUACCAAGCCGACGAUCAGUAGCCGACCUGAGAGGGUGACCGGCCACAUUGGGACUGAGACACGGCCCAA